rnacentral:rRNA from 1 species
AGCAAUACUUAGUGGCAGACGGGUGAGUAACAUGUGGGUAUCUACCCUUUGGCCUGGAAUAACACGAGGAAACCUGUGCUAAUACCGGAUAAGUCUUUACGGAGAAAGCUUUAUGCACCAUUGGAUGAGCCCGCACUUGAUUAGUUUGUUGGUAGGGUAAUGGCCUACCAAGACUAUGAUCAAUAGCUGAUUUGAGAGGAUGAUCAGCCACAUUGGGACUGAGACACGGCCCAAACUCCUACGGGAGGCAGCAGUGGGGAAUCUUGCACAAUGGAGGAAACUCUGAUGCAGCGAUGCCGCGUGAGUGAAGAAGGCCUUUGGGUUGUAAAGCUCUUUCGUCGGGGAAGAAAAUGACUGUACCCGAAUAAGAAGGUCCGGCUAACUUCGUGCCAGCAGCCGCGGUAAUACGAAGGGACCUAGCGUAGUUCGGAAUUACUGGGCUUAAAGAGUUCGUAGGUGGUUGAAAAAGUUGGUGGUGAAAUCCCAGAGCUUAACUCUGGAACUGCCAUCAAAACUUUUCAGCUAGAGUAUGAUAGAGGAAAGCAGAAUUUCUAGUGUAGAGGUGAAAUUCGUAGAUAUUAGAAAGAAUACCAAUUGCGAAGGCAGCUUUCUGGAUCAUUACUGACACUGAGGAACGAAAGCAUGGGUAGCGAAGAGGAUUAGAUACCCUCGUAGUCCAUGCCGUANACGAUGUGUGUUAGACGUUGGAAAUUUAUUUUCAGUGUCGCAGGGAAACCGAUAAACACACCGCCUGGGGAGUACGACCGCAAGGUUAAAACUCAAAUGAAUUGACGGGGACCCGCACAAGUAGUGGAGC